rnacentral:tRNA from 3 species
GGCGGUGUAGCUCAGCUGGCUAGAGCGUACGGUUCAUACCCGUAAGGUCGGGGGUUCGAUCCCCUCCACCGCCA